rnacentral:rRNA from 1 species
AGAACGAACGCUGGCGGCAGGCUUAACACAUGCAAGUCGAGCGCCCCGCAAGGGGAGCGGCAGACGGGUGAGUAACGCGUGGGAACAUACCCUCCGGUUCGGAAUAGCUCAGGGAAACUUGGAUUAAUACCGGAUACGGUCGAGAGGCGAAAGAUUUAUCGCCGGAGGAUUGGCCCGCGUUCGAUUAGCUAGUUGGUGAGGUAACGGCUCACCAAGGCGACGAUCGAUAGCUGGUCUGAGAGGAUGAUCAGCCACAUUGGGACUGAGACACGGCCCAAACUCCUACGGGAGGCAGCAGUGGGGAAUAUUGGACAAUGGGCGCAAGCCUGAUCCAGCCAUGCCGCGUGAGUGAUGACGGCCUUAGGGUUGUAAAGCUCUUUCGCUAGGGACGAUAAUGACGGUACCUAGACAAGAAGCCCCGGCUAACUUCGCGCCAGCAGCCGC